rnacentral:rRNA from 1 species
UAGGCGGGGUAACGGCCCACCUAGUCUUCGAUGGAUAGGGGUUCUGAGAGGAAGGUCCCCCACAUUGGAACUGAGACACGGUCCAAACUCCUACGGGAGGCAGCAGUGAGGAAUAUUGGUCAAUGGGCGAGAGCCUGAACCAGCCAAGUAGCGUGAAGGAUGACUGCCCUAUGGGUUGUAAACUUCUUUUAUAAAGGAAUAAAGUCGGGUAUGCAUACCCGUUUGCAUGUACUUUAUGAAUAAGGAUCGGCUAACUCCGUGCCAGCAGCCGCGGUAAUACGGAGGAUCCGAGCGUUAUCCGGAUUUAUUGGGUUUAAAGGGAGCGUAGAUGGAUGUUUAAGUCAGUUGUGAAAGUUUGCGGCUCAACCGUAAAAUUGCAGUUGAUACUGGAUAUCUUGAGUGCAGUUGAGGCAGGCGGAAUUCGUGGUGUAGCGGUGAAAUGCUUAGAUAUCACGAAGAACUCCGAUUGCGAAGGCAGCCUGCUAAGCUGCAACUGACAUUGAGGCUCGAAAGUGUGGGUAUCAAACAGGAUUAGAUACCCUGGUAGUCCACACGGUAAACGAUGAAUACUCGCUGUUUGCGAUAUACAGCAAGCGGCCAAGCGAAAGCGUUAAGUAUUCCACCUGGGGAGUACGCCGGCAACGGUGAAACUCAAAGGAAUUGACGGGGGCCCGCACAAGCGGAGGAACAUGUGGUUUAAUUCGAUGAUACGCGAGGAACCUUACCCGGGCUUAAAUUGCAGAUGAAUUACGGUGAAAGCCGUAAGCCGCAAGGCAUCUGUGAAGGUGCUGCAUGGUUGUCGUCAGCUCGUGCCGUGAGGUGUCGGCUUAAGUGCCAUAACGAGCGCAACCCUUGUUGUCAGUUACUAACAGGUUCCGCUGAGGACUCUGACAAGACUGCCAUCGUAAGAUGUGAGGAAGGUGGGGAUGACGUCAAAUCAGCACGGCCCUUACGUCCGGGGCUACACACGUGUUACAAUGGGGGGUACAGAGGGCCGCUACCACGCGAGUGGAUGCCAAUCCCAAAAACCUCUCUCAGUUCGGACUGGAGUCUGCAACCCGACUCCACGAAGC